GAGCGCAACCUUGCCAAGGUUGAUGUCGAGAGUUCGAGUCUCUUCACUCGCUCCA
rnacentral:tRNA from 1 species